rnacentral:snRNA from 1 species
AGCCAUGCAGUGAGCACAAAGCUAACUAUUCUUUUGCCUUUUACUAAAGAAUAUCGUGCGUGUUGCAUUUAGUGGAAUAUGCUUAUUUUUGGAGGGGUUCUCUUCAUUAGAGUUC